rnacentral:tRNA from 1 species
GGGCUCGUGUGGCAACCUGGAUAGCCGGCGAGGCUUCGGACCUCGAGACGCGGGUUCAAAUGGCCCUUUUCCGCCCAAUCGCAUUGAAAAUCCCGCCGAGCCCG